rnacentral:rRNA from 1 species
GAUGAACGCUAGCGGCAGGCCUAAUACAUGCGAGUCGGACGGGAUUCAGGAGCUUGCUUCUGAUGAGAGUGGCGCACGGGUGCGUAACACGUAUGUAACCUACCUUUAUCAGGGGGAUAGCCUCUCGAAAGAGAGAUUAAGCCCGCAUAAAAUCACAGCACAGCAUUGUGUAAUGAUCAAAUAUUUAUAGGAUAAAGAUGGGCAUGCGGAACAUUAGCUAGAUGGCGGGGUAACGGCCCACCAUGGCGACGAUGUUUAGGGGAUCUGAGAGGAUGGCCCCCCACACGGGUACUGAGACACGGACCAGACUCCUACGGGAGGCAGCAGUAAGGAAUAUUGGUCAAUGGGCGGAAGCCUGAACCAGCCAUGCCGCGUGCAGGAAGACGGCCCUACGGGUUGUAAACUGCUUUUAUACGGGAAUAAACCCAGAUACGUGUAUCUGGCUGAAUGUACUGUAAGAAUAAGGAUCGGCUAACUCCGUG